rnacentral:snRNA from 1 species
AUCGCUUCUCGGCCUUUUGGCUAAGAUCAAGUGUAGUAUCUGAUUAGCUACCACUGAUCUCUCUAUUAAUGAAGGAUGGUAUAGAUUUAGGCACGAAUCAAAAGACUAAUUUGAUAAUCCCAGAUCCUACCAAAAGAGGAACUAUA